GCCAUUUUAGUAUAAGGUGUAUGUUAGAGUUAGGUUUUGAAGGGUUGAAUUGGCU
rnacentral:tRNA from 1 species